UUUCAGUUUCGGUUUUCCCACGAGAGAGUGUCCGUUGGAGCUACAGUGCAGAGCUCCGGCGCCAUGUUUCAGUUCAUGGCCUCCUGUCUUUGCUCACUUGAGAGUUGGCUUCGCUGAACCUACAGUUCGCAAUGGAGGCUGUGCAGUGCUUCGCCAAGACACCUCAGGUCAGGUACUCAUACAGAAAAGCAGGUUUCAAGUUUAAGAGGUUCCAGAGAGGUUCCGUUUCAAGUCCGAGCAUCAGAGGGGUUUCAGGGUGGAAGAUGGUUCAGCAGACAGUCUCUUCUAUAGAAUCUACAGAAGGGGGGUAUCAAUGGUUCGAGCAUGGAGCAAGCACAAAGGCCGGCACAGGCAAGGGAGCAGCGAGCAGCACGGAGACUCGGUAUUCGCUGUCAUACUGGGCAGUGGGCACCGACCUUGAGCUUGUGGUAUUAACUGAAAGACACAGGUCAGGAAAGAGUGGUGCAUACCAACCUUCUCUGCUACUGCUUCCCACUGCCACCCCAGCAUCCAUCCCUUCACCAUGCCCUCGCCACGGUCACGAUUGCAGUAGUACGUCGUCUCUAUUGGCUCUCCGUCACCGGAACACCGCUCUGGCGCUCUCGCUAACCAGCUUCCAAUGGCUGUCCACUUGUUGGGGCAGUUGCAACUGUUGGGCCAGCCUGCUUCCUUUCCUGGCCCCCAAACCUCAUCACAUAUUAGGCUGACAGAAAUUGUUUUUUUCUGGAGGGAGAAGAAACCAAACUUUGGUGCUAAACGAGGAAGAAGUUCCUAAAGAAAAGGCGCCAAGGUUCAAGAGCAAAAGCAUGAGAGGUCUCAGGUACACACAGAGGGUACUGAUAUUCUUCAGCUGUCUAAAAGCACUUCCUUCUGAUUGCCGCUUCUAUGCAUUUGCCUUUUUUUUUCACUUUUGCUUCCUUAAUAGUCGAUCAGUUUAGCUCCACACUCUCGAGCAGAAGUUGGGUUGAUAAUAGAUUACCAUAGUUUAUAUCGACAGCCUUCCUAAUAUCAGUAUAGUCACAGUACUUAUGCCCCAAUUGACUGAUGAAGUGGUCUUAUUCUUAGGUUUCUAGCCCAGGAUACCGGGUUCUAGCGAACUUGGUGACUGAAAACUGGAGGUUGUUUUUCCCCUAUCCCUAAAAAUUUCUCUGCAAAUAACAUGUGUUGCAUGUCCGGGCUUUCAUCUUUUUAAUAACAUGCAGCUCUCGUUUCAUUA